UUUUCUGUAUUUGGCCCGUAUUUGCAUCUGGAUCACCAUUUAUCAUACAUAAUGUCUUUUUCGGGUUGACUAAUAGACCCAAAUGAUCCAGUUCUGGACCAAAAAUGUCCAUUAUUCUUUUAAAUUUACCUUUACUUUUCAAUAAACAGACCACAUCGUCUGCAUAUGCUAGAAUGCCAAUUUUUUGUUUUUUAUAGACAUAUUCAUCACCUUUGAUCAGAUAUUUUAAUUUGCAUAGUUUAUCAUCUAUUACUAUAAUGAACACUAUCGCUGACAAAGGAUCACCUUGUCGGAUACCUUUGCUUAAUGAAAUCUCCGAUGUCAUUAUAUUAUUGAUUUUAAUUCGAGUCUUUUCUGAACCCAUUAGAGUAUAAAUCAAUUUUGACAACUCCUCAGGAAUGUUCAUUUCUCUAAGUACUUUGUAUAAGUAUACAUCCAAGGAUGGCAGCAGGCACGUAAAUUACCCAAUCCCUGAACAGGGAGGUAGUGACGAAAAAUAACAAUUACAGGACUCUUAACAAGGCCUCGUAAUCAGAAUGAGUCCACUCUAAAUCCUUUUAACGAGGAUCUAUUGGAGGGCAAGUCUGGUGCCAGCAGCCAUGGUAAUUCCAGCUCCGUUAGCGUAUAUUAAAGUUGCUGCAGUUAAAAUGCUUGUAGUUGGAUUUGGGUUUUUGGGCCGGCGGCCGCCACCUUCUAGCGGCGCAUCUCCCGCCGUGCCCCCAGAACUGCAUGGUCGCAGAGGCCCCCAUGGUGCUCUUCAGUGAGUAUCCGCCGGUUCGGGUCGCUGAACAUUUACUUUGAAAAAAUUAGAGUGCUCCAGGCAGGCCGGUAAAGCGUUUGUUUAAAAAAGACCCGCACCUGAAUAGUCACCCAUGGAAUAAUGAAAGAGGACCGGUGGUCCUAUUUUGUUGGUUUUCUGGAUUUUCUGCUGUCAUGAUUAAGAGGGAUGGCCGGGGCAUUCGUACCGCGACGUGAGAGGUGAAAUUCUAGGACCGCCGCAAGAUGAACCGUUGCGAAAGCAUUUGCCAAGAAUGUUUUCCUUAAGCAAGAACAAAAGUCAGAGGUUCGAAGGUGAUCAGAUACCGCCCUAGUUCUGACCGUAAAUGAUGCCACCUGAUGAUCUGCCAGGGUUACUACCAUGAUUCGGCGGGCAGCCCCCAGGAAACCCAAGCUUUCGGGUUCCGGGGGAAGUAUGGUUGCAAAGCUGAAACNUAAAGGAAUUGACGGAAGGGCACCACCAGGAGUGGAGCCUGCGGCUUAAUUUGACAACACGGGGAACCUCACACGGCCCGAACACCAUGAGGAUUGACAGAUUGAGAGCUCUUUCUCGAUUNGGUGGGUGGUGGUGCAUGGCCGUUCUUAGUUGGUGAAGCGAUUUGUCUGGUUAAUUCCGAUAACGAAUGAGACUCUAGCCGAUUAAGUAGCCCAAAGCGGUUUUUGAUCUUUGCCGUCCAUCCUUUGUUUUUUCCCUUUUUNCCGUCCUCGGCCGACCGGUUUGGUGGGUACGAGGGAAGGUGGGGGCGGAGGAAUCAUCUGCAUGCUGUCCGUGGUCUGUGGGGAAACCUUUUCAUCACUUUACCUUCUCGCCAUCUUUGCCGUUUCCCAAGCGGUCGAGACGGAAGGGGAGCUUAGGCGGAAGCAUAACCGAAGGCCGCCGGCUAUUACAUGAAGCUUCUUAGAGGGACAAGCGGUGUUCAGCUGCCCGAGAUUGAGCGAUAACAGGUCUGUGAUGCCCUUAGAUGUCCAGGGUCACACACGCGCUACACUGAAAGGCUCAGUGUGCUUGUUUCUCCCGAGCUAACAGGCUCGGGGAACCCAUUGAUACCCUUUAAUGCUAGGGACAGGGACUUGCAAUUGUGUCCCUCCAACAAGGAAUUCCCAGUAAGUGUGAGUCAUCAGCUCGUGUUGAUUAUGUCCCUGCCCUUUGUACACACCACCCAUCUCUACUACCAAUUGAAUGAUUUAGUGAGGUCUUCGGACCGGUGGCUGUUCCGAGCCAUCGCUACCUUCUGGGGUCGGCAGUUUUUUCUUUUGGGGUCGGCCGGCCGGGAAGAUGCCUGAACUUGAACGUUUAGAUGAAGUAAAAGUCAUAACAAGGUUUCCGUAGGUGAACCUGGGGAAG
rnacentral:rRNA from 1 species